rnacentral:rRNA from 1 species
GAUGAACGCUGGCGGCGUGCCUAAUACAUGCAAGUCGAGCGAAUGGAUUAAGAGCUUGCUCUUAUGAAGUUAGCGGCGGACGGGUGAGUAACACGUGGGUAACCUGCCCAUAAGACUGGGAUAACUCCGGGAAACCGGGGCUAAUACCGGAUAAUAUUUUGAACUGCAUGGUUCAAAAUUGAAAGGCGGCUUCGGCUGUCACUUAUGGAUGGACCCGCGUCGCAUUAGCUAGUUGGUGAGGUAACGGCUCACCAAGGCAACGAUGCGUAGCCGACCGGGGAGGGUGAUCGGCCACACUGGGACUGAGACACGGCCCAGACUCCUACGGGAGGCAGCAGUAGGGAAUCUUCCGCAAUGGACGAAAGUCUGACGGAGCAACGCCGCGUGAGUGAUGAAGGCUUUCGGGUCGUAAAACUCUGUUGUUAGGGAAGAACAAGUGCUAGUUGAAUAAGCUGGCACCUUGACGGUACCUAACCAGAAAGCCACGGCUAACUACGUGCCAGCCGCCGCCCGUAA